rnacentral:snRNA from 1 species
AUAUUACCUGGCAGGGAGAUACCAUGUCACGGAAAUGAUUUUCCCAGGACAAGGCUUUUCUAUUACACUUCGAAUGUGCUGACCCUUGUGAUUUCCCAAAAUAUGUGAAAUUCAACUGCAUAAUUUGUGGUAGUGGGGAGAAAGUAGUGAGACUGCGUUCACGCUCUUCCUUG